rnacentral:rRNA from 1 species
UACGAAGGGGGCUAGCGUUGUUCGGAAUUACUGGGCGUAAAGCGCGUGUAGGCGGGUCUUUAAGUCAGGGGUGAAAUGCCAAGGCUCAACCUUGGAACUGCCUUUGAUACUGGAGAUCUUGAGUCCGGGAGAGGUGAGUGGAAUUGCGAGUGUAGAGGUGAAAUGCGUAGAUAUUGGGAGGAACACCAGUGGCGAAGGCGGCUACCUGGACCGGUGCUGACGCUGAUGCGCGAAAGCGUGGGUAGCAAACAGG